rnacentral:rRNA from 1 species
AGCAGCCGCGGUAAUUCCAGCUCCAAUAGCGUAUAUUAAAGUUGUUGCAGUUAAAAAGCUCGUAGUUGAAUUUCGGGGUUAGUAGGUUGGUCGUGCCACUGGUACGUACUGGUCUCACUGACUCCUCCUUCCUGAUGAACUGUAAUGCCAUUAAUUUGGUGUUGCAGGGAAACUGGACUGUUACUUUGAAAAAUUAGAGUGUUUAAAGCAAGCUAACGCUUGAAUACAUUAGCAUGGAAUAAUGAAAUAGGACGUUCGAUCCUAUUUUGUUGGUUUCUAGGAUUGACGUAAUGAUUAAUAGGGAUAGUUGGGGCAUUAGUAUUCAAUUGUCAGAGGUGAAAUUCUUGGAUUUAUUGAAGACUAACUACUGCGAAAGCAUUUGCCAAGGAUGUUUUCAUUAAUCAAGAACGAAAGUUAGGGGAUCGAAGACGAUCAGAUACCGUCGUAGUCUAACCAUAAACUAUGCCGACUAGGGAUCGGAUGAUGUUAAUUUUUAAUGUACUCA